CCGCCGGCGUAUACGUAGGUGGCAAGCGUUGUCCGGAUUUAUUGGGCGUAAAGCRAGCGCAGKCGGUGWGGUAASUCUKAUKUGRAAGCCWUCGCCRCCKAAGRWGGSAUMGRWRAYUGGGRUAMKUSAGURCASAAGRKRACMGUGGAACUCCAUGUGUAGCGGUGAAAUGCGUAGAUAUAUGGAAGAACACCAGUGGCGAAGGCGGCUGUCUGGUCUGUAACUGACGCUGAGGCUCGAAAGUAUGGGUAGCAAACAGGAUUAGAUACCCUGGUAGUCCAUACCGUAAACGAUGAAUGCUAAGUGUUGGAGGGUUUCCGCCCUUCAGUGCUGCAGCUAACGCAUUAAGCAUUCCGCCUGGGGAGUACGGCCGCAAGGCUGAAACUCAAAGGAAUUGACGGGGGCCCGCACAAGCGGUGGAGCAUGUGGUUUAAUUCGAAGCUACGCGAAGAACCUUACCAGGUCUUGACAUACUAUGCAAAUCUAAGAGAUUAGACGUUCCCUUCGGGGACAUGGAUACAGGUGGUGCAUGGUUGUCGUCAGCUCGUGUCGUGAGAUGUUGGGUUAAGUCCCGCAACGAGCGCAACCCUUAUUAUCAGUUGCCAGCAUUAAGUUGGGCACUCUGGUGAGACUGCCGGUGACAAACCGGAGGAAGGUGGGGAUGACGUCAAAUCAUCAUGCCCCUUAUGACCUGGGCUACACACGUGCUACAAUGSAUGGUACAACGAGUUGCGAACUCGCGAGAGUAAGCUAAUCUCUUAAAGCCAUUCUCAGUUCGGAUUGUAGGCUGCAACUCGCCUACAUGAASUCGGAAUCGCUAGUAAUCGCGGAKUCCAGCAGCCGCGGUAAUACGUUCCCGGGCCUUGUACACACCGCCCG
rnacentral:rRNA from 1 species